rnacentral:rRNA from 1 species
GAUGAACGCUGGCGGCGUGCCUAAUACAUGCAAGUCGAGCGAACGGACGAGAAGCUUGCUUCUCUGAUGUUAGCGGCGGACGGGUGAGUAACACGUGGAUAACCUACCUAUAAGACUGGGAUAACUUCGGGAAACCGGAGCUAAUACCGGAUAAUAUUUUGAACCGAAGGGUUAAAAGGUAAAGGACGGCUUUGCGGUACGUACUCGAGGGUUCGGCGCUGCAUUAGCUAGUUGGUAAGGUAACGGCUUACCAAGGCAACGAUGCAUAGCCGACCUGAGAGGGUGAUCGGCCACACUGGAACUGAGACACGGUCCAGACUCCUACGGGAGGCAGCAGUAGGGAAUCUUCCGCAAUGGGCGAAAGCCUGACGGAGCAACGCCGCGUGAGUGAUGAAGGUCUUCGGAUCGUAAAACUCUGUUAUUAGGGAAGAACAUAUGUGUAAGUAACUGUGCACAUCUUGACGGUACCUAAUCAGAAAGCCACGGCUAACUACGUG